rnacentral:rRNA from 1 species
AUUGAACGCUGGCGGCAGGCCUAACACAUGCAAGUCGAGCGAGCGGCGGACGGGUGAGUAAUGUCUGGGAAACUGCCUGAUGGAGGGGGAUAACUACUGGAAACGGUAGCUAAUACCGCAUACCAUCAGAUGUGCCCCGAUGGGAUUAGCGCGUAGUGGGGGUAACGGCUCACCUAGGCGACGAUCCCUACCUGGUCUGAGAGGAUGACCAGCAACACUGUAACUGAGACACGGUCCAGACUCCGACGGGAGGCCGCAGUGGGGAAUAUUGCACAAGGGGCGCAAUCCUGAUGCAGCCAGGCCGCGUGUGUGAAGAAGGCCUUCGGGUUGUAAAGCACUUUCAGCGGGGAGGCGGUACCCGCAGAAGAAGUACCGGCUAACUCCGUGCCAGCCGCCGCGGUAAUAC